UGGACUAUGGUUCAGUGGUAGAGCACUUGCCUAGCAGGCAUGAGGCAUAGUCCAG
rnacentral:tRNA from 1 species